AUUGAACGCUGGCGGCAUGCCUUACACAUGCAAGUCGAACGGCAGCACGGGAGCAAUCCUGGUGGCGAGUGGCGAACGGGUGAGUAAUAUAUCGGAACGUGCCCAGUCGUGGGGGAUAACGUAGCGAAAGCUACGCUAAUACCGCAUACGAUCUAUGGAUGAAAGCGGGGGAUCGCAAGACCUCGCGCGAUUGGAGCGGCCGAUGUCAGAUUAGGUAGUUGGUGAGGUAAAGGCGCACCAAGCCGACGAUCUGUAGCUGGUCUGAGAGGACGACCAGCCACACUGGGACUGAGACACGGCCCAGACUCCUACGGGAGGCAGCAGUGGGGAAUUUUGGACAAUGGGCGAAAGCCUGAUCCAGCAAUGCCGCUUGCAGGAGGAAGGCCUUCGGGUUUUAAACUGCUUUUGUACGGAACGAAACGGCGAGCUCUAAUACAGUUUGCUAAUGACGGUACCGUAAGAAUAAGCACGGCUAACUACGUGCCAGCCGCCGCCGUAA
rnacentral:rRNA from 1 species